rnacentral:rRNA from 1 species
UACGUAGGUGGCAAGCGUUGUCCGGAUUUAUUGGGUUUAAAGGGUGCGUAGGCGGCUUUGUAAGUCAGUGGUGAAAUAUGGCAGCUCAACUGUCAGGGUGCCAUUGAUACUGCAGAGCUUGAGUACAGAUGAGGUAGGCGGAAUUGACGGUGUAGCGGUGAAAUGCUUAGAUAUCGUCAAGAACACCGAUAGCGAAGGCAGCUUACUGGGCUGUAACUGACGCUGAGGCGCGAAAGCUAGGGGAGCAAACGGG